AAAGUCGUAACAAGGUUUCCGUAGGUGAACCUGCGGAAGGAUCAUUAUUGAAUGUUUCCUUUAAGGAGCAUCUAUAAAACCCCUCUGUCUACUUAUCCAUGUUGCUUCCCACUAAAAAUAGAGGAUUCAAACCCCAACUUGAUUGUUGGAUAAGGGGAGAGUACCUAACUGGUGGAGAAGGCUAAAAAAACAAACUCUGUAUGAAAAACUGCUUGUCUGAUUAACAUAAUUAAAAUAUGAAAAAAAAACUUUCAACAACGGAUCUCUUGGCUCUU
rnacentral:misc_RNA from 1 species